GACGAACGCUGGCGGCGUGCUUAACACAUGCAGGUCGAACGGAAAGGCCCUGCUUUUGUGGGGUGCUCGAGUGGCGAACGGGUGAGUAACACGUGAGUAACCUGCCCUUGACUUUGGGAUAACUUCAGGAAACUGGGGCUAAUACCGGAUAGGAGCUCCUGCUGCAUGGUGGGGGUUGGAAAGUUUCGGCGGUUGGGGAUGGACUCGCGGCUUAUCAGCUUGUUGGUGGGGUAGGGGCUUACCAAGGCUUUGACGGGUAGCCGGCCUGAGAGGGUGAACGGCCACAUUGGGACUGAGAUACGGCCCAGACUCCUACGGGAGGCAGCAGUGGGGAAUAUUGCACAGUGGGCGGAAGCCUGAUGCAGCAACGCCGCGUGCGGGAUGACGGCCUUCGGGUUGUAAACCGCUUUCGCCUGUGACGAAGCGUGAGUGACGGUAAUGGGUAAAGAAGCACCGGCUAACUACGUG
rnacentral:rRNA from 1 species